CAAUUGGCGGGCAGCUACCAUGCAGUCGAGCGGAACGAUGAUAGCUUGCUAUCAGGCGUCGAGCGGCGGACGGGUGAGUAAUACUUAGGAAUCUACCUAGUAGUGGGGGAUAGCUCGGGGAAACUCGAAUUAAUACCGCAUACGACCUACGGGAGAAAGGGGGCAACUUGUUGCUCUCGCUAUUAGAUGAGCCUAAGUCGGAUUAGCUAGAUGGUGGGGUAAAGGCCUACCAUGGCGACGAUCUGUAGCUGGUCUGAGAGGAUGAUCAGCCACACCGGGACUGAGACACGGCCCGGACUCCUACGGGAGGCAGCAGUGGGGAAUAUUGGACAAUGGGGGCAACCCUGAUCCAGCCAUGCCGCGUGUGUGAAGAAGGCCUUUUGGUUGUAAAGCACUUUAAGCAGUGAAGAAGACUCCAUGGUUAAUACCCAUGGACGAUGACAUUAGCUGCAGAAUAAGCACCGGCUAACUCUGUGCCAGCAGCCGCGGUAAUACAGAGGGUGCAAGCGUUAAUCGGAAUUACUGGGCGUAAAGCGAGCGUAGGUGGCUUGAUAAGUCAGAUGUGAAAUCCCCGGGCUUAACCUGGGAACUGCAUCUGAUACUGUUAGGCUAGAAUAGGUGAGAGGAAGGUAGAAUUCCAGGUGUAGCGGUGAAAUGCGUAGAGAUCUGGAGGAAUACCGAUGGCGAAGGCAGCCUUCUGGCAUCAUAUUGACACUGAGGUUCGAAAGCGUGGGUAGCAAACAGGAUUAGAUACCCUGGUAGUCCACGCCGUAAACGAUGUCUACUAGUCGUUGGGUCCCUUGAGGACUUAGUGACGCAGCUAACGCAAUAAGUAGACCGCCUGGGGAGUACGGCCGCAAGGUUAAAACUCAAAUGAAUUGACGGGGGCCCGCACAAGCGGUGGAGCAUGUGGUUUAAUUCGAUGCAACGCGAAGAACCUUACCUGGUCUUGACAUAUCUAGAAUCCUGCAGAGAUGCGGGAGUGCCUUCGGGAAUUAGAAUACAGGUGCUGCAUGGCUGUCGUCAGCUCGUGUCGUGAGAUGUUGGGUUAAGUCCCGCAACGAGCGCAACCCUUGUCCUUAGUUACCAGCGGGUUAAG
rnacentral:rRNA from 1 species